UCACCCGCUUCACCUCCCUGAGCGGGUGCCUACAAGCGAGGCGUUUCUUACCCACGGCGAUAUCCCCUUGAGCCGUGGGUUUCUUUUU
rnacentral:ncRNA from 1 species